rnacentral:rRNA from 1 species
AUUGAACGCUGGCGGCAGGCCUAACACAUGCAAGUCGAACGAGUGGCGGACGGGUGAGUAAUGUCUGGGAAACUGCCCGAUGGAGGGGGAUAACUACUGGAAACGGUAGCUAAUACCGCAUACCAUCGGAUGUGCCCAGAUGGGAUUAGCUAGUAGGUGGGGUAACGGCUCACCAAGGCGACGAUCCCUAGCUGGUCUGAGAGGAUGACCAGCCACACUGGGACUGAGACACGGCCCAGACUCCUACGGGAGGCAGCAGUGGGGAAUAUUCGGCAAUGGACGAAAGUCUGACCGAGCAACGCCGCGUGAGUGAAGAAGGUUUGCGGGUCGUAAAACUCUGUUGUUGGGGAAGCGGUAGCUAAAGAGGAAGCCAGGGCUAACUACGUGCCAGCAGCCGCGGUAAUAC